GGAAAUCAUCAAGAGGUGGCUAAAAUAUGUUUUUCUGCUGACCCUGUCCAGAGCAGUACAUUGCUUUGCUUCCAGGUGGUUGCUCCUGUCUGCAUCUCCAAGCUCGGGGCAUACCGGCCAUCAGUGGCGGACUGGCCAUCGGGACGCUUCGGUACCGGCAGGGGCGGACUGACCAUCUGUAGAAUCACCGAACGGCCGGGUCGGUUUGCUGUUUUUAAACGGCAUCAUUGAAGUUAAGCUGACAGGCGACAGAGGUCCACCGUUUCCCAGCCCGCCCCUGCCGGCCAUCAUCUACUCUAGGGAGUUCUCCCCUGACAGCUGGACACUACGUGAUAGCAGAGGACCAGACCACCGUCAGUGACUGUCCUGAAUGUUGUCGACGCCCUGAUGCUGAUGUUUGCAGCAUAUUACUGCCUCAACAUCAGUUAUCGCUCAGAACUGGGAGCUACCCUGGAGUUCUUGCAGAGGUGCCUAUUCAAGAUCAAUCCGGACAAUGGGAGAGUGGAGAGGAAGGAAUACAAACAAAAACAGCACUCGAUAAAGAUAAAG